AACGCACAUUGCGCCCCUUGGUAUUCCGGGGGGCAUGCCUGUUCGAGCGUCAUUUCAACCCUCACGCGUAGCGUGGUCUUGGGCUCUGCCGGCGACGGCUUGCCUUAAAAUCAGUGGCGGUGCCAUCGAGCUCUACGCGUAGUAAUAAAACCCCUCGCGUGUGAGUCCCGGUGGACGCUGGCCAGCAACCCCCAAUUUUUUAUGGUUGACCUCGAAUCAGGUAGGGAUACCCGCUGAACUUAA
rnacentral:misc_RNA from 1 species